rnacentral:rRNA from 1 species
GUAGGUGGCAAGCGUUGUCCGGAAUUAUUGGGCGUAAAGCGCGCGCAGGCGGUUCUUUAAGUCUGAUGUGAAAGCCCACGGCUCAACCGCGGAGGGUCAUUGGAAACUGGAGAACUUGAGUACAGAAGAGGAAAGCGGAAUUCCACGUGUAGCGGUGAAAUGCGUAGAGAUGUGGAGGAACACCAGUGGCGAAGGCGGCUUUCUGGUCUGUAACUGACGCUGAGGCGCGAAAGCGUGGGGAGCAAACAGGGAUUAGAUACCCUGGUAGUCCACGCCGUAAACGAUGAGUGCUAAGUGUUAGGGGGUUUCCGCCCCCUUAGUGCUGCAGCUAACGCAUUAAGCACUCCGCCUGGGGAGUACGGCCGCAAGGCUG